AUUGAACGCCGGCGGCAUGCCUUACACAUGCAAGUCGAACGGUAACAGGUCUUCGGAUGCUGACGAGUGGCGAACGGGUGAGUAAUACAUCGGAACGUGCCUAGUAGUGGGGGAUAACUACUCGAAAGAGUGGCUAAUACCGCAUGAGAUCUACGGAUGAAAGCAGGGGAUCGCAAGACCUUGUGCUACUAGAGCGGCCGAUGGCAGAUUAGGUAGUUGGUGGGAUAAAAGCUUACCAAGCCGACGAUCUGUAGCUGGUCUGAGAGGACGAUCAGCCACACUGGUACUGAGAAACGGCCCAGACUCCUACGGGAGGCAGCAGUGGGGAAUUUUGGACAAUGGGCGCAAGCCUGAUCCAGCAAUGCCGCGUGCAGGAUGAAGGCCUUCGGGUUGUAAACUGCUUUUGUACGGAACGAAAAGCCCCGGGUUAAUACCCUGGGGUCAUGACGGUACCGUAAGAAUAAGCACCGGCUAACUACGUGCCAGCCGCCGCGGUAA
rnacentral:rRNA from 1 species